UAUCUCUGUAGAGUCUGCAUAUCAAUAAGCGGAGGAAAAGAAACUAACUAGGAUUCCCUCAGUAACGGCGAGUGAAGCGGGAAGAGCUCAAAUUUGAAAUCUUCAAGGUUUUACCUUGACGAAUUGUAGUUUAAAGAAGUGUUUUCUGUUGGAGUUUUGGUAAAAGUUCUUUGGAAUAGGACAUCAUAGAGGGUGAGAAUCCCGUAUUAGACCAUUAUUUCCAGCUUUGUGAUACACUUUCAAAGAGUCGGAUUGUUUGGGAAUGCAGUCCAAAAUGGGUGGUAAAUUUCAUCUAAAGCUAAAUACUGGCGAGAGACCGAUAGCGAACAAGUACCGUGAGGGAAAGAUGAAAAGAACUUUGAAAAGAGAGUUAAACAGUACGUGAAAUUGUCAAAAGGGAAGCGUUUGACACCAGUGUUGUUUUCUCGAAAAUCAAUUAAAAAUGGCGGGAUUUUGUGUUGUAUUGACUUUAUCAGCUUUCUACACUUUUUUCCUGUCUUUUUUAAUGCACUUUUCGUUUAACAAGUCAACAUCAAUUUCUUUUGUUGUAAAAGAGUCAUUGGAAGGUGGCUUUCUUUUCGGAGAAAGUGUUUAUAGCCUUUGGCUUCUGCAAUCGGAGAGAGUGAGGUCCGCAGCGUAGAUCCUUCGGGGUUAGAUACAUUUGUGCUAAGUUAUAGCCUUUCAUAGACAACUUGUUGACUAUGAUCAGUCAUGUAGCUUACUCGCUUAUGCUAUUUUACCUACGCUUAGGAUGUUGAGUCAUCACACAUCUCU
rnacentral:rRNA from 1 species